rnacentral:rRNA from 1 species
UACGUAGGGUGCGAGCGUUAAUCGGAAUUACUGGGCGUAAAGCGUGCGCAGGCGGUUUUGUAAGCCAGAUGUGAAAUCCCCGGGCUUAACCUGGGAAUGGCAUUUGGGACUGCAAGGCUUGAGUGCGGCAGAGGAGACUGGAAUUCCUGGUGUAGCAGUGAAAUGCGUAGAUAUCAGGAGGAAUACCGAUGGCGAAGGCAAUCCCCUGGGCCUGCACUGACGCUCAUGCACGAAAGCGUGGGGAGCAAACAGG